AUCUAUUUACAUGACAAUACAUCUAUUUACACCACAUCCUAACUGAUAAUAAUAUCCGAUAAUGAAUGUGUAUAUGGCCAUUUGGUAAUACUAAAGCAAUGAUGAUGGGAUCUUGAUCUAAGUACCGAGAUUUAAUAGAGUGAGAUAAACUCAAACACUGGUACUUACUUUGACACUCUUGAGUUCCACCAAAUGAAUAGACUGAAUAGCUAAGGAACAGCUUGAUAUAAGUGUACAUGAUUCCUGACAUACCGCAUGGAAGGAACAUCAGCUAGACUAGGCUGAAUAACUACUAAAGGCCC
rnacentral:lncRNA from 1 species